UGUACAGUAGGCUAUGACGUAAUGUGUGGACAGGCACCACCCACACUACACACACACAUUGCUUUGGCUGUGAGCCGUGUCCCUUAUCACCACAGCUUUCCAUUGGUUAGGCUAUUCUAAUGGAAAAUCUUGUGUAAUUAUGGAAUCUCUGCGUUAAAUGCCAUUGUCUCUAAUCAGUGUUCUCUGGACGUUUACAUGCUGAAGACCAUUACAUCAGACCGCCUGAAAUUCCUGCGUGCAGAGUCUCAAAUUGGUGUUUGUCCUGUUUUGUGAAUUCUUCGUUGAGGGCCUGAGGAUCUUGGACCGCAGCUGAGGACACACUGGCCUGACACCUGGAUGAGAUUGCCCAAUCCCUCCUUGUCCCCCUCUACCUGCUACCUGCUACCAACCUGUUGCUGCCUCCACUGGUUCUUUCUCCCCUGCACUCACCAGAAACUUGGAUUCUGUUUCUUCCCAUGACAUCUUUAUAAAAAGACAUCUGACCAUAGGGUCUUGAAGUGUUAAUACUUCCUCUAUAGUCCUUAUGGAUAUUGUCUUGAGCCUGUUGGCCAUAGGGAGGAGGUCAGAGACCUGGCAGUGUGGUGCCAGGACAACGACCUCUCCCUCAACGUGAUCAAAACAAAGGAGAUGAUCGUGGACUACAGGAAGAGAAGGGCCAAGUACGCCACAAUUAACAUCAACGGGGCUGUAGUGUAGCGGGUCCACAUCACCAACAGACUAGCAUGGUCCAAACACACCAAGACAGUUGUGAAGAGGACACAACACUUUUUCCCCCUCAGUAGAUUGAAAAGAUUUGGCAUGGGUCCUCAGAUCCUCAAAAAUGUCAACAGCCGCACAAUCGAGAGCAACUGCUCAGCAUCCGACCGCAAGGCGCCACACAGGGUAGUGCAUACGGCCCAGUACAUCACUGGGGCAGGAGCCAGAACCUCUAUACCAAACGGUGUCAGAGGAAAGCCCUAAAUAUGGUCAAAUACACCAGCCAUCCAAUUCAUACCGUUAUCUCUGCUACCGCACAGAAAGCGUUACCGGAGCACCAAGUCUAGGUGUAAAAUGUAUUGGUCGCUAAAUCCAGAGAAUUUACAGACCAUGUAAAAAACUCACAACACACACACACACACACACACACAGCUGUGUUUGGUAACCUGAAAGAUACUUGGAAUCUUAUUGCUGUGGUUCUAUAAGACAAUGAUAUUCACACAUGUAAACAGUAUUAGUUAAGGGUUAUAACUAUAAAAUAUACAUACAGU